UUAUAAAAGUUCAGAGUGUUUAAUAGUUUCUCCUGAACAAAGUCCAACCAGAAACAGAAAUACAUACAGAAAUCUACCAGUCUUUAUUUAGCCCUAUGAAACUAAGAUGAAAGAAGGCUGAAAUCUAUUUAUGUGUUUUUUUGAAUUAUGGUCUUUUGCUAAUAUAACAGAAACCAAUUUCUAAUCAUAAAAGUUCCAGAGAGGAAUCAAUGGGAAGAAUGCCAAAGAGGACUGGGAAUAUCUGCUGGGUAGGUGGAGCUAUGAAAUUCCACACAAUAUAGGCAUGCUAUUUCUAUAGUUCAAGUUUUGAACAAGCUUGGCUAUAUUCAGUAAAAAUGUUAGAAACAUUCAUUUCAACAAGUGCUAAAAAAACCCUCCUUCUGCAGCAGGACACUUUAUUAUGUAUCCUCCAAUGUCUGUUUCUAACCCGAUUCCUCUCUGUAUCCUCCUCUAUCACAGACAUUGAACCACCCCUGCCAAGUGCGUUGUGAGUGGGUCCAAAUUCUAGCUUACUGCAUUCAGAAAGCUGAAAACCAGAAUUUCAUGGUCUGGUUUUUUUUUCCAUGAAGGUUUUAACUUAGCAAAUAGCUCAAAUGAGUAAUGAAAUUCAUCACAAAAAAAAAUGCUGAUUCUGAGCCUAGCUGAUUAUUUCCAGCAAACUGCAACCCCUGCGUUCACUGAAAUGUAACUGUGGGCAGAAUGAAAAAAGACCACCCCUUCCCCAGCACUUCCCAUGCUCCUUCGCUGGGAGAAUGCACUCUGCUCUGGCAGCUCUGCAAUACUUCAUAGGAGUGAUAUAGCUGUGAAGCACAGAAUGAAAAGCAACAGCAGAGGGAGGCAUAGGAAUAGGCACAGGACAAAAUCUGUGGAAAGGAGACCUGAAAGCAAAUGCGAGGAAAAGAGAGAGCCUGCCUGACAGAGGGUCAGAGAAAGGUAGGACUGCACAAGUGGAAUGGAUGAUCUUUAAGGUCUUUUUCAACCUGAGCAAUUCUUUGAUUCUACGAUUCUAUGACGGAAAAGGGACUGCACUUGUGAGACACAGUGAAACCCGUCCAUUGCUGGGAUUAACUGAAGGCAGGGCACGGAGCAACUUUGAACUUCUAAGAACUGCAGGGAGGAGGUGAGGGAGUUAGGUUUGAAGACUUUUAUUUGGGCUUCAUUGCUGGUAAAACACUCCGCUCAGGGGAUUUUAACACUGACUUCUGCUCACUGAUUUGGGUACUGGGAGAAAAAAAAAGUCAUUACAAACACUUUGGGAGACAUCUUUCCUUUGCUCAACUCCCUGCCCCGUACAGCCUCUUGUUUUGCCUCAGGUUACAGUCAUCCUAGGUGGGAAGCAGGGCUCUACGUGUGGUGGCUGCUCUCUGCCCUCCUCAGUAGUUACCCUUCAUCCUCCUUGGUGCCACAUGGCCCCAGAGACGUCUUCCUUGUUGACCCCAGAGCUGGAGGGGACGUCUGCCCUCACCUGGAGGGGGAGCCCUGACACUCUCUGAGACUGGCGACUGGCUGCCAAAAUGCCCUGCCUUUGGAAGCACAGGAAAACUGUGCCCCAAUAAGCAUGUCCAAGUCAUACAUUGGGGCAUCUUCUGCAGGACUUUCCUCUUUCACAGAAAACUGAGGUGCGUUACGCUUCCCAGGGAACUUAAAAUCUUCUUUACUACUGACAUUAUUACAUUUCUGCUCACUGCCACUUGUGUACUAAGAAUCCUCUUGCUGGUGUGAAUCGAGACAUAAGGAAUAGACUGUAGGAUCAGCGCAUAAAGCUUGCAGAUGGCUCCUAUAAACACUCACACUUAUCUUCUGUUCCUGACUAUGCAUUAAUCACUAGUUCCAUCUGUCUGCUGUUUCCUUCUGCAUCUUGGGCAUUAUAACUCAUUAGGAGGUAGGGGGGGAAACUCAUCCCAAGCUGCGAUGGUUUUUGCUAAAAACCACAAGGCACUGAACUCAACCCUCAGGAAAACACACGCAUCAGCAUUUUGCUGAUGAUUCCCUUGCAGAAAGAAACGCCUGUUUUAUUUUAAACUCCUGUCAAGGUAGAGAACAGGCUAUUUGAGAGCCUGAGGUAUCGGGCAAGAAAUCCUCACUCCUUAUUUUUCUGCACUUCACAGUGAGAGGGAAUGAUGGCAAGCACAGAAAUCCUGACAGAUUUCACCAUCAUUCUGCUUGGCCUGGAGUCACUUACAGUCCCCAGUGCUUGCCUGCUUACUAUAAAUAACAUCCUGUCAGGGAAAAAAAAAAAGAAAGAAGAAAGAAAGAAAAGAAAGAAAGAAAAGAAUUUUCAGCUUCUUAGUUGCUGGCAAUAGGAAAGUGUUUUCACGCUGUUUGUCAAGUAUUUGAGGCUCUGCCUUAGACUUCUAUAAUAAUUACUAUAAUAAACACAGAUUGGUUGUGGGCUUUGCAAGCCAUCCAGUGAAGGAAGCGCUCAAACAGGCUCAGCUGCAGAAAGGGAGCAAUACAGGCUGAUGUAGUCAGAGAGAAAAGACUACAGGAAAAAAAGUGAGAGUUAAUCAGAAACCCUGAGGGUUUGGGAGGAAAAGAGCUUAUGAGUGAGAGGAAGACAUAUUCUGAUGGAGCACAGCCAAGCACAGUGCCCGUGGGCAAUGGUGAUCCCAAUGAAGUGGUGAGCAUGCUCUCAGACCACAAGAAGAUUCAUCCUUGCUGCUAGCCCACUGGUUCAACUGGAGACAAAGUCAAGCUGAAUAGAGCCCCAGUAUUCUCGAAUACAUAUUCUCUUCACAGUGGACAUCUAAGCUAAUUGUGCCUAUGCAGAAAAUGUGGAAGAAAAAUGAGGCUCUGCUCCUGACUUGACAAAACAGUACUGUUCACGUGGUUAACUUAUAUGUGCGAUUGCCUUCUGCUCAGGCUUUGUUCCUUGUGCCAGGCUCAGCUAUUUGUGCCUUUGGACGCGGGGAAUCCAGCGUUGUCCCAUACAGCAGAGAAUAGAGAUAGAGCAAUACAGCCCAAGGUCAAGAGUGAGGUUUCAAGAGCAGCAGUGUUUCUGUUGUGAAAGGAUAUCAGAGCACGGCACCUUUUCCUGCAGCUGCUGCGUUUUGUUUGCUGCUGAUAAAAAGCCUCUGUGAGAAACAGCAAAUGGACCUGCAGAUCCACCACAGCUUUCAGUGAAAGCAGGAGCUCAAAGUGGUCCUGCUCACUGUUGCUUCUGCACUUCACCUUUCCUUCAUUCAUCCUGCCAGAGGAAUACUGUCAGGUCUCACCUGUGAGUGACUCUGAGGCCUUUUGAUUUCUGGAGGAAAGGCUUAACAACGACAACUAUGAGGCUGCGAUCUGAUAUUAAUCUCUGGAUGUUCAGUACAGAUAAAACAAGAAUUUGUGUACACUAUUCAAUUUUAUGAAGAGCAACACGGUGCCCUUGGCAGAUCCCUGAAUGACCUCUCCAGGCUUAACCAAACAAUAGACCCAGAUUUGUUAAGGUCUGGCAGCACCAUCUUCUAGUAAUGUUUUCUUCUUGUCUGGAAACUAAAGGCUACAUUACUCUGUCAGAGGAAGCUGUGUUUGUUUAAUAUUGCCAGUUCUGUGCUGUCCAGCCCCCUACACCUCAAUCAAUAUCUCAGUUAGUUUUCUUUCUUUUUUCUUCUUUUUUUUCUUUUUUCUCUUGUUUGGGUUCUAUUAUGACCAUACAUUUUACUUGGCACUAAACAUUUUGCAUCAACUCUAAGCAUCUACCAUGUUCCAUCUACCACAGAAACCAGCUUAAAUCAUCAGCAUCUCCUGAAUGCAGUGGUUAUUCUACUCUCUAAAGAAAGUGCCUUUAGUCUAUUAUUUCCAAAUCUACAUGUACAUGUUCAGUUAUAUGUAGGUUUCAAGGAUUAAGAAAGAUGUGAUACUGUGGAAAGAUAAACUAGAGACACAUAUGCCUGAAAGGAACAAUUAUUGCUAAAUUAGCAGCAAGUUUUUGCCAAGGCACAGUCAGUAAAGAAAAGCUGUAUCUGCCAAAAGGACACCUCCCUGGAGCACAUUUGGCUUAGUGAUAACCAGAUCCAUAAGCAAAUGUGACACUGAUGGAUAGCUCGGUUACACCACUGAUGUAAGGAAAGGUAUCAUGUAUUCAAGUGCAGAUACAAGACUAAAACCGAUAUGCCCAGAAGAUUGUAGUACUUUGGAUCCACAAGACUCAGUUGUUGGAGGCAGAUCUUCAAAUCCAUGCCUGAAGUAAGGAACACGUGCCCUAAGCAUGGGGAGCUGGAAAUUCAGAAAUGGAAUAAGGAGAAGGCUGUGUGCUGAGAAGAUGGGCUGAAGAAAAGACAGCCACCAGGUUACACACUGCAGGGGGCAUUCCUGAAAUCCCAGUUCUCUCUCCUAAUGCCAGGACAGGUUCCCUUUUCUCACAGGCACCUAACCUGACUUUUGGGUACCCUCCUCUUACCGCUUAGGAGGAACACAGCACAGAUGAAAAUUCAGUGUUCUGGGGACAGAGGAAAGGAGAGAAAGAUGGGGUAGGAAGUGAGUUCCUGUCUUCAUGUCAUUCAAAUCAAGUCCUCUUUUCACUGCAUACUGGUUCAUAUUUUCUCUUGUUUUCCAGUUCCCUUCCUUGGGUGUUGCUUUCUGCAACUGCGAUGUUGGCCUCCUGUGUUAGCCCUCUUGCGCACACUGACCAAUUGCCUGAUCAGGGCCAAAUGACUGCAGACACACACCAAUAUGAUGAGCAGCAAAAUGGCAUCUAUUCACUACUAAGCACAGCUUAUAUACCUUUACUUGAGCUAUCGUGCCCUGUCCUGAUUCGUCCAUACUGGAUCUUAGCCCCUUACUACAAUUCCUUAUUUGGCUCUUAUUGUCUCCUCAUUUCUUCACCUUCUUAUCUUGUUUACUUCGUUAGCAAGGACGGUCUGUCUGAGCACAACAGCACCCUUCCACUGUGCUUAGGGAGAGGCCUAUCGCAUACAGCACAUAUCCCCGUCAAGCGUCUACUACAGCACUUGGGUUUCUUCAUCUUUGCUUCAUGCUUGCUGGUUCAGCUCUAAUAAGAAAACUGAGAGAAUCUUUUUAAUUAUCUUUUCUAUUUUUUUUUUCUAUUUUGCUGUCAGUGUCCUAGCAGACAGAUUUGUGAGCACUUCUAGAGAAGAGUUUAUUUACUCAGGGCAGCCCUUUCAGAAGAGAGACCUGAGUGCAGCUGCCUAAGUCCCAGUCUGUCACCCCAGCAGCUCAACUGCAGAAACCACAUUUCCAGAAGUUCUGUAAACAUUUGAGAAGCUGACCUCGCUCCAAUAAACUUCUGCUGACUUCAGUGUAUCACUUUGUACCAAGAUACAGCUCAUACUUAAAUACAUUUUCUUUGAAGAGUACAUCUGUCAUUGAAAGUCAAUGGAAAGUCAUUGAAGUGGCACCUAAUGGGUGACACGGUCCAAAUUAACACACGUUGGUGUCUUAAUACCUAGCCUUGUUCUAUUUUUUCCUUGGGAGGAACCACACUUUCUCUAUUUAGUUAUUCAUUCAUUUCAGUGGGACCUCUAGUAAUAAAAUCAGCCAUGCAUGUUUCAUGGUUCUGUAAUCAGAGUUUUCUGUUCUGGCUUUAGAAACUGAAUUUGUGAAGUAGUAGCAUAGAGAAGUGACAGUGGAAGAAUACGGGGAACAACAGAAAGGAGGAAUUAAUGUAUUUUUACCUUGAAUCAAGUCCAUCCUGUAAUAAGGGUCCCAAAGCCCAAUUUUUCUUGGUUCUGACCGCUCACAGCAUUUCUCAGCACGACAAACAGAGGCACACUCGAGCUUCUGAUGAUGUGCGCAUUAAACUUCAGGAGACCUACUUGGCCUCUUCUUUGGGAAACGUCUCAAACAGCAGAUGCUGGGCUAGAGUGGGACAAGCUUUGAUUAGAAGAAAGACUCUUUGGAACAUGUAAUAGUGGCAUAAUGAUAUACAAACAGUAGCCACUGUGUUUAUGCCGGUGGAUGGCAGGUGAGUACAGCUCCCAUAGCCUCCAUCUAUCGCAGUGUCACUGCAGCAGGCUCACAUUGGUUUUUCGCUGCAGUUAGCAGCACUGAUGCUGUUGGUUAGCUGGAGAGGCAGCUCAGCAUGCAGAAGCACACACAGCUUGAAGAGGAGCUCUGGAGGUCGUUGGCUCACAUUUCAGGCUCCCUGGCAGGCUGCCUGACAGCAGACUUUUGAUUUCUUUGUGCAGGAAAGCACAGCAGCUUGGCUUUGCAACCUUGGGUUAAGACAAACAUGGCCUGGUGCAGGCAGUGCUCUGCUAACAUGCCAGACACCUCCAGUGCGCUGCGGAGAGGUUUCU
ensembl:lncRNA